UGACUGCGUACCUUUUGUAUAAUGGGUCAGCGACUUACAUUCAGUAGCGAGCUUAACCGAAUAGGGGAGGCGCAGCGAAAGCGAGUCUGAUAAGGGCGAUAGUUGCUGGGUGUAGACCCGAAACCAAGUGAUCUAUCCAUGGCCAGGAUGAAGGUGAGGUAACACUCACUGGAGGUCCGAACCCACUAAUGUUGAAAAAUUAGGGGAUGAGCUGUGGAUAGGGGUGAAAGGCUAAACAAACUUGGAAAUAGCUGGUUCUCUCCGAAAACUAUUUAGGUAGUGCCUCAUGUAUUACUCUCGGGGGUAGAGCACUGUCAUGGCUAGGGGUCUAUUGCUGAUUACCAAACCAUUGCAAACUCCGAAUACCGAGAAGUGCAAACAUGGGAGACAGACAUCGGGUGCUAACGUCCGGUGUCGAAAGGGAAACAACCCAGACCGCCGAUUAAGGUCCCAAGACAUAGUUAAGUGGAAAACGAAGUGGGAAGGCUAAAACAGUCAGGAUGUUGGCUUAGAAGCAGCCAUCAUUUAAAGAAG
rnacentral:rRNA from 1 species